CGGUAGACUCUCAUCUAUGCAGUACAAAUCAGGAAGUUAAUUUAGUCUGUAGGGGUCUUGUAGGAAGACCGGACCCUCGAGUCUAUCAUUUCUCAGGGCUCAGGAGGUGAGAGAAGGAACCACAGAGGUCCAAUUCAAGGUCUCAUUUUGCCUAUUGCUUCAUUUCUUUUGAGUCCCCUUUGUGCCCAUGCAAGCACUUGUCUGCUUUUCACAAAUUCUCGGGCAUGUCUCCCUAGCUGAAGUUUUUGAUUUGAGAAUGACCUGAUGGCUCUAUUCACAAAUGAUACGACUUUUCUGGAAGGUUCAAGUACAAGGUUUCAACCAAUCCUUUUCACUUUGAAAUUCCUGCCGUGACAUCACACAUCAGGAGCGAAGACUGACAGCAAGAGACAGACACAAGACUAUGUCUAUAAGGCAUAAAAACCCGGUGACUAAUGCAUCAUUCCUUAGAAACAAGUAUUCUGGUCGGUGAAGACGUCUGUCAGAAGAGUUGCUUCGCAAACUCUAUGAGAAGAAAGCCAUCACAAGUCCCUGCACUCUGACCACAAAUGAAGAAAGGGACAAUAAAAGCUGUUCAGUGUUUUGGUAGAAGGAUCAACUGUAUUUGAAAUCAAAAGGAGCGUCUGAAACAAGGCUUUUUGUUGCUAUUACACUGAGAAGCUACAUGACACAGAAAGCUUGGCAGCCUUCCCACAAUCCUCAGCAUGUGGGAAUAUCAAGGAACAGAGUGUGAGCCCCUGCCAACUGGUGGUUCCGUGUAAAUGUCUCUGUUAACAACCAACACUGCUGCUAGCAGCCAUCCGAGCAAAGCGGCAAAUCUGUUCCUCUCUCCGGUGUGGAAAACACCACCAAAAAAGUCACCUAAUUACUUGAUUAAGAUGUAUCAAUCCCGGAAAUUGUUGAUCUAGAACAUUGAGUCGCUGACAUUGGAUUCAUUCUUGAUUAAACAAAAAAGUUUCAACCUGA